GAGGCUGCUGUGAGCUGUGUUCAUGUCACUGCACUCCAGCCUGGGCAACAGCAAGACCCUGUCUCACAAAGUAAGUACAUAUCAAAAGAAUGACUCAAGAUAAACUAUUUUGACUUAAACAUUACAAAAGUGAUAGGGUAAAAUAAUAAGUUUAGAUUUUUGAUAUAGAUCCUGCCUUCUUACAGAAAUAUUCUAAUGAUUUGAAACCAAAAUUCCAGAGCUACUUAAACCAUUUCACUCAAUAAAUAUGUAUUGAGUACUUUUUUUUUUUCUGAGAUGAAGUCUUGUUCUGACACCCAGGCUGGUGUGCAAUGGCUGUUCAUAGGUGUGAUCAUAGCAUACUGCAGCUUCAAAAUCCUGGCAUCAAGCAAUCCUCCUGCUUCAGUCUGCUGAGUAGGUUGGACUACAGGCACGAACCACACAGUACCUGGCAUUAUUGAACACUUCUAAUAUGUCUACUAUCAGAAUGAUUUAGAAUAGCAAUUCAUUCUUUCCCUUAUUGUCAUGACCUUGAUAUUUUUUAAAGAUCAUGCACCAGCGAUUUUGUAGAAUAACCCUUCAUUAGGGUUUGAUGUCUUCUCAUUAUUAAAUUCAGGUUAGGCAUCUGUGUAGCCGAAAUAUCACAGAAGUUGUAUUAUCACAUCAGAUGGUGCCCAAUUUCAGUUUGUUUCGUGGCUUAUGUUCACUUUGAUCACUUGAUUAAGGUGGUGUAUCCCAGAAUUCAUUGUGGAGUUACUCUCUUUAUAGUACUUUUGAGGUGGUACUUUUGAGAUUAUGUAAAUACUAUGCUCCUCAUCAAACUUGCAGUUCAUUUACUUUUCAAUAUGAACUCAUAGUUUCCUGAUUCAGUGGUUCUCAAACUUGAGUGUGCGUCAGAAUCUUUUGGAGGGCUUGUUAAAACAAAGACUGCCAGGUCCCAUCUCUAGAGUUCCUGAUUCUGUAGGUAUGGAGUGAGACCUGAGAAUGUGCAUUUCUAACAAGUUUCCAGGUGGUACUGUUAGUGCUGCUGGCCCAGGGACCACAUUUUAUUACUUGUUAUUGUCAUUAUUUUGAUGCUCAAACUGUCUCUAAUUUGGUCAGUGGCCAACUGGCUUCUGUGGCCUAUUGACAAAUCUUCAUUAGUUGAACCCUUCUUUACUUUUUUGCCACAGUAAGAUGUUCCAGGCUCAUCUUGUACUUUCCCUGCCCCAACCCUGGAAUUGGCCAUUUCUUCAAGGAUCCCUGGUUUCUUUUAGUGCUAAGUGGUACUUAGAAGCCAAGAUCUGAGCACCAGAUGUGCUCAUUGCCUUGGGGAAAGUGCCACUCCCAGGCCUUUUCAGGGGACACAUUUAGAGAACAUUAGUAUAUACAUACCUACAUGUUCCUAUUUAAACUUCUGUAUCUAUUGAAAUCCAUGACAUCAUACAGAUGCCUCCAAUUCUAACAAUACUGUAGGGCUCCAUCCUUCUCUUGACAUUGAGGAACUGGGUCUCACUAGCUCUAAGAUAUUUAAAUUAUUUGAUCAAUCUCCCUGUAUGUAACCAAUCUCUCAUCACCACUGCUGCCCCUCUCCCACAUGGACAUCCUCUUUGCACUCCUAAGGCUCUGACACUUCACACCUGGCUGCUCCUAUCAUAGAUGCCCCCUUUACCCUGUUUGAGCUCCAACACCCUCUGCUGGCUUGCCCGCACUGCCAUGGACAUCCUUCUCUCUCGUACUGCAUUCUAGGCUGCCCUCACAGAUGGAUGCUCUCCACACCUCACUUGGGCUCCAGCACUCAACACUGGACCUCCUCUGUGGCGUGGGAAUGCUCUACCCUACCUAGCUCUGACCCACCACUCUGGGCUACCCACAUGGUCUUACUUUGUCAUCCAGGCUGGAGUGCAGUGGCAUGAUCUCACCUCACCUCACUGCAGCCGUGACCUACCAGACUCAAGUGAUCCUCCUGCCUCUGCCUACCAAGUAGCUGGGACUACAGGCACACACCACUGUGCCUGGUGAAUUUUUGUCUUUUUUCAGAGAUGUGGUUUUGCCAUGUUGCCCAGGCUGGUCUCAAACUCCUGAAGUCAAGCAAUCCACCUGCCUCAGCCUCCCAAAUUGCUGAGAUUACAGGUGUGAGCCACCUCGCCUGGCCUGAAUGACUACAUUUUAACUUAAAUUUAGAAUCUUAAUUAUUACCUAAUAUCUUCAAAAAGGUCACACAAUGAUGUAGCAUUGAAAUUUCAGAAGAUGGCUUGCACACACCAGGCAGUGGAACUGAUGGCAGUAAAGAUGGCCAAAUCUCUCAGGACAGAUCCCGGAAUUUCCAAAAUUCAGAAAGUUAGAGUAAUGGACAGUUUGUCAAAAACUUCCUGUUGACUUUCAGGAGAAGUCAUGUAAUUUCCGUAAUGUGAAAUCCCACUAAAGAAAGAAGAAACUUCAAGGGGAACUAGAAAAUGCAGGCAAACUUAGGAUUCUUGUGCAGGCCUUGAACUCAUAUUUUGAAGUAUUUUAGAGGUCAAGGGCACAAGUCCUGGUUAUGGAAAGCAGUGUGCCACCGAGGAUGUUUUGCAAAGCUACUGAUGAUCCAGUAUUAUUCCCAAGGAUCUCCAGAUGCAGAAUACAAAGCAGGCUAAGACUUAAAUGUUGAUUAUGAUACUAAAGAAGAAAGUGAUGUAUUAGUGUUUUGAUAAAUGUAUGCUAUUGACAGUUGAGUACAGAGGAUUUUUAGAGCCAUAAAACUACUCUGUAUGAUACAAUAACGGUGGAUGAUACAUGUCGUUAUAAAUUUGCCCAAACCCGUAGAAAGUACACCAACAAGAAUGAACCCUAAUGUAAACUAGGUAAUUAUGAUGUGUCAAUGUAGGUUCAUCAAUUGUAACAACUGUAACACUCUGGGGCAGAGCGGGGAGUGUUAAUAAUGGGAAGGCUGUGUGUGUUUGGGGCAGGGAAUAGAUGGGAAAUCUCUGUAUCUUCCUCUUAAUUUUGCUGUGAAUCUAAAAUGCUUUAAAACAUAAAGCCUUUAAAAAUGCAUAAUUUAAACAAGGACAGGACUCAGGAGAGGUGAAUGAGAUACCUGGGGUGCAAAAGGAAGGAGAUGCCCAUUCUUGGGGUUGUGCCGGUACAAGGCUAAAUGGUUGAGAAGUCCACCAUGUGGUUUAUAAUCCACAGCAUCUUAGAAUUGAGGAAAUACAGUGGGCACAGUUCCCCCAAGGGCUGGGGUUCUGAGCUCUGUAUUGGGCCUUCCUGGCCUCACCAUCUCCAUGUGUUUUUUCAGCCUGAGCACCAGCUCCUCUGGGGAGGGGCUCCUGGAGAAGCUGGGUAGGGGCCCAUCCUCUGCGCUCUCAUCAUGCCCUGUACGAGUCUUUCUGUGAGUCCUCAUCUCAGUGGAAUUGCUUUUAAAAAUCUGUCUCUUGCCCAGACUGUGAAGUCCUUGGGAAGAAAAAUUGUUGUGUUAUACCUUUUGUAGUUGGCCCAACAGCAAUGAAUGGACAAGCUCUGAUGUCCUGUAGAGAUGGGAAAAAACAUAGUCUUUUGCGGACUGAGCGAUUAAUUUUUCUCCUUUAAUCAUCAGUGCAGCCCUCUGGUGGGCUGAUGAAAUGUCUUCAGGAGCCAGAGAGCACUCCCAGUCCAAGCCUUACCCUUGUCUUCGGUUGAGGAAUAACUUUAUCAUUUGGUUAAAGUGGAAUAUGCCCAAGAAAGAAAAAGUUUUGCUUUUUAUGACUCAUGUCAACAUUUUAAAAAACAUCUUAAGGAAGUUUAGUCAAAGUGCUUAGGGAACUUUGGAAAAAAGAUGCCACUAUCUAUGUCCUAGUGCAUUGCAUGAAGUCCCAGGUGCAUUGUGUAAGGUCUCAGGUGCAUUGUGUGAGGACACAGCUACAUCGUGCGAGGCUGCAGGUGUGUGGCAUGAAGCUGCAGGUGCAUCAGUGUGGCUGUAGGCUGUUUAAAAUCCUUCUUGUUCCACACAACCUAAAAUGCUCACUUUCUAUAGAAGCAAUACCUCCUAGUUUUGCUUAGAUCCCUAGACAAAUAGUCUGCUUUCAUAGGAGCAAAGGCAUGGCUUAUACCUGACUCUAGUUUCGAAAAUGCAAUGUUUAGAGCUAACAGCCUUCUCUAUCUUGCUAGUACUCCGUAGCCACAGAAUUUCCUGUUCAUUGUAUCUGGGAAUCAUUUGGAUCUGUUUGUACUGGCUUAUUAUGAUUUAAGAAGACUUGAGUUUGUAGCAUUUAAAAAAGGAAUUAUAUUUUAUGUAAUAUGUACUUUUAUUUUGGGUUCAGCAGAGCGGGGAGAUGGGCAGGAAGGGGGAAGUGCUGAUAGCUAAAGAGAUUUACAAGAGGAUGAAGAAGGUCAAUAUCGUGCCUCAUUUCCCCUUCCUAGUGAUAACUGCUAAUAUAUUUCUAUGGAGCCUCUUUUAAUGGUAUGUAUUUCAAACAUUUUGUUAUAAACAUAACACUCGGAUAUUAUAGAAUUGAAGGAAAAACACUUUUAAUGCCACCACUCAGAUAACCAGUGUUGCUAUUAUGAUGCCCUUUGUUUUUUUGCUAUGCAUAUAAAGUCAAAUACUAAAUCUACAUUACAGUGUAAGCAUUUUCCUGAACAAAAAAACAUGGCACACACUUUAAUUGCACAAGACAGAAACAAUAGCACACAGAGCACACACAUAAGCCCUAUAUCUCAAUCUCACUUAUAGACCUUGAUGAAAAAUAUCAAACAAAAUAUUGACAAUAGAAUCCAGCAAUAUGGUUUAAGAAAUGUAUCAUGACCAGUUGAAAUUCAUUUCAGGAAUGUAGAGAUUAGAACAUGUUUGGAAAUCUAUUAAUAUAAUCAACCUUAUAUAAAAACCCUGUAUGAUUAUCUUGAUACUGAAAAGUCAUAUGAAAAUUUCUGUGAUUUAAAAAAAUCUCGAACUAAUAGUCAGCAUUAUGUUUAAUUAAACAUAGUCACAUUAAAGUCUAAAAAGAUGAGUGUCAUCAUUAUUUUCUUGUUCUAAAAAUCCUAGUCAACACAACGAGCAAGAUAAUUAAACAAGAUGUCUAAACACUGACAAGAAAGAGGCCAAAUUAUCUUCACUUGAAGAUAAUAUGAUUGCUUACAAAGAGAAUCCUAAAAAAUUUUAGACAUAAUAUAGUUCAAUAGACUGUACAAAAUAAAUAUAUAAGUAUAUGAAAAUAUGUAGAACAAAUAUUUAAAAAUCAUAUAUUUAAUAUAUAUUUAAAAUAAUACAUAAAAACUUAGAGUUUCUUAUAUAUCAGCAAAACCACUUAAAAGUAAAAUGAAAAAUAUAUUCCAUUCACAUCAGCAGCAAUAAAAUAAAACACCUAGGAAUACAUGUAACCAAAGUCAAAAGCAAAACAAAGUCAAAUCAAAUCUUUAUGAACCAGUUCUGAGAGAAGUAAGACUAGAAUGAACUGAGAGACAAAUCUUGUUACUGGAUGGGAAGAUGCAAUGUCAGAAAGAGGCACAUUCUCCAACAGAUCUCUAAAUCCUAUGUAAUCUCAAAAGGAAUCCCUAAGGGAUUCCAAGUGAAUUCUAAAACUCAGCAUGAGAAUAGCCAGGACCAUUAUGGAAAAGGCAAGUAAAAUGGAGGUACUCCUCCCAGUAAAUAUUAUUAUUAUUAUUAUUUUUUGUUCUAAGCCUGCCAUUGUAGUGAAUGACUACCACAUAUUAACACAAAGCUAUACUAAGUGUGUAUGAUACUGAUACAGGAAAAGACAGGUCAAUCGAGCAAGUUAGUUCAGAAAGAUCCAAGUGAGUGAGUGUGUGAGUAUGCAUGUAUAUGUGUGGGUACAUUUGCAUAUAAAUAUAUAUAUCAGAAUUUAGUAUCUGAUAGAGGGGGCAUUUCAAAUAUUUGGAGUAAUUGUCUUUUUUUGUUUGUUUGUUUUUGAAACAGGGUCUCUCUCCGUGCUGGAGUUCAGUGGUAUAAGCUUGGCUCACUGUAGCCUCAACCUCCUGGGCUCAAGUGAUCCUCCCACCUCUGCCUCCCAAGUAGCUGGGACUACAGGCGCACACCACCAUGCCUGGCUGAUUUUUGCCUUUUUUGUAGAUGCAGGGUUUUGCCAUGUUGCCCAGGCUGGUCUCAAACUCCUGAGCUCAAGCCAUCUGCCUGCCUCGGCCUCCCAAAGUGCUGGGAUUACAGGCGUGAGCCACGCGCCCAACCAGAGCAACUGUUUAUUAAUAGGAAAACCAUAAAGCUGGAUCCUUAUCUCAUAUUUUUAUACCAAAAUAAAUGGAAGAUAAUAAAAAAUUCAAAUAUGAAAAAUGAAACCAUAAAAUGCUAAAAUAUAGGUGAUUAUUUUUAGCCUUAAAGUGCGUAAGUCAUGAUACCAAAAAGCAACUAUAAAAUAUUUUAUAGAUUCACAUAAGUAACAUUUUCUAAAAGUCCUUUUGCAUAUUAAGAGUAAUGAACAGGCCGGGCGCGGUGGCUCACGCCUGUAAUCCCAGCACUUUGGGAGGCCAAGGCGGGCAGAUCACGAGGUCAGGAGAUCGAGGCCAUCCUGGCUAACAUGGUGAAACCCCAUCUCUACUAAAAAUACAAAAAAUUAGCUGGGUGUGGUGGCGGGCGCCUGUAGUCGCAGCUACUCAGGAGGCUGAGGCAGGAGAAUGGUGUGAACCUGGGAGGCGGAGCUUGCAGUGAGCCGAGAUGGUGCCACUGCACUCCAGCCUGGGUGACGGAGCAAGACUCUGUCUCAAAAAAAGAAAAAAAAAACACAAAAAAAGGGGAAUGAACAAAGUUGAAGUACAAAUGAUAAACUAAAAAAAUGUUAACCAUACAUGUGACAUUGGGUUAAUAUCUCUAUAAUACAAAAGAAAUUUACAAAUUAAUUUGACAAGGACAAGUUAUUUAAUUAAAAAGUGAUCAAAAGAUAUAAAGAGGCAGUUCAUAGAAGAAAAAACAAAUGAGAAAUAAGUAUGUGAAAAUAUAGUCAUUCUCACUCAUAAUGAAAGGAAUACAGAUUAAAACCAUGUAGUCCACGAUUUGCUGCCAGGUUGGUGGUGAUGGUAGGUUCAGUUAUCAGGUAUGGUCAGUGUGGAGAGCAGUGGGCUCAAAGAAACUGUUGCUGGGGGUGUAAUUGGUUCAGACUUUCUGGAGGGCAGCUUGCCAGCAUGUGUUACCAUGGAAAUAGGUGUAUUCAUUGACUUAGAGAGUCCUGUCAUCUGACUGCAUCCUAAGGAGAUAAUUGGCCAAGCGUGCAAAUUCUGAGUUACUGUUAACAUUUUGCCAUAUACGAAUUUUAAGUUGGUGGUGGUUAAAUUAAUUGAUCAUUUUCUUUGUGGUUUCUUUUAUGCUUAUGUAGUUCUUCCCUUUUCUAUUUUUAUUUUUAUUUUUUUACAUUUUGACAAUUACCUGGAAGGGUUUUGAUUGUAAAGUGACAUGGUAUUUUAAAUUAGUAUUUUUCCAAGUUUUCAUUUCCUCACAACCUUUUGUUAAAUAAUUCAUCACUUCACUGUUGAUCUGAAGUGUACCCUUUAUCGUGUGUCAAGUUCUUUGUAUAAGAUACAUUUCUAGAUUCUUAAUUCUGCUCUGUUAAUGUGUCUGCCUAUGACUUGCUUAUACUUGCAGUUUUAAUUUAAUAAAUAUUAAAAGGAAGAA